UUAAUUUUAAUUUUAUAUUUUCUAAGAUUCACGACUUUUAUUGACUUUCCAAUUAUAAAUUUCAUUAAGUUUUAUUGCACAUAGAUUCUUCAAUAUUUUUCAUUGUAUCACUUACAUUCCUAACUUUUUCAAUCCAUUCUUAUUUACUAACUCUGAGUAGUUAACAUAUCUUGCAUUUAAUAAUGGUUAUGGGCCAAAAAUCUGUUGGAAUAUUGAGUAUUGAAAAAAGGGAAAAAAUCAUAUAUACCUUACUUAUAUAAAAAAUUUCAUAUUUUACUGCUAUGACAAAAUAAAUACUGAAAAAACUACGUAAACUGAUUAAAAAUACCAAAAGUACUAUAUUAUAAACUUUCCUAAAUUUCAUAUGUAACUAAAAUGCUGAACAUAAUUCAAGGAGAAGGAAUUAAUUGAAAGUGUUGAGAAGGUGCCAAUUCAAAUACAAAAUCAAUCUUGUGGUGUCGUGACAUCAAAAAUGGGGAUAUGAACAAUCAUACUUUGAUGAUGAAGAUUUUAGCAGUUGGUAAUAUAAAAAAAAUCGGUAAAUCUCCUGAUCUUAUUCAUUGUCUAUUUAUUGGAUAUGAUUCCAUAUUCAACAUCACGUUCUACAUCGCCAUAUUUCAUAUCAUGUGUAAUAUAUGCAAUUAGGAUUUUAUCUUGUUCAUUAAUACUUCCUCUCAUAAAAUAAAUAUGCAGUAUUACAUUUUACACAUCAUGAUUUUGGGGAGUAGGUUACCAAUAUUAAUUGCAUAUAACUAUUGAAUAUAAAAUCCUAUAUAAGAUAUCAAAAUGAACAAGAUGUGCAUCAUAUAAUGGGUAAUAUAACUAUUUUGAUAAAAAAAAAAUAAAGGUUAAAGGUAAUGGUAUUAUCAUAUGCAUCUUCACUUUUGGAGAAAUAUAUUUGAAAGAGAACUUAUGCUGUAUUUAAUGAUUAUGAUUUUAUUCAUGGGAAGGCUAAUCUUUUUUAUUCCUCUAUCUGAUUCUUCUCGAUUGGUACGUGUCUUUCAUAGAAAAUUUUCUUUCUUAUGGAAUUUAAUUGAAGAACAUCAUGAUCGAGCUGAUAUAUUUUGUUCAUUUCAGUGUUUUACAUUUAAUCAUGAAAUAUUAUUAAUUGGAUUCUGCAAUGUACACACUAAUUAUUGGUCCUAAAUUUCACCCCUCUUUCAUUUGGAAAAUAGCAUGUCUUGAAGAUGGUUUUGAUCGAGUUUCAUUCCAUGGAUUACAUUGAUUAUAUAUAUUGUGCCUAUGCAUAAAAAAAAAAGAAAAGAAAAGAAAUGGAAAUCAUAAGGGAUAUCAAAUAUUUCUGUUCAGAGGCUUUAUUUGGAAACUUCAGAAAUGGGAUUGAUUAACUAUACCUUAACAAUUCCAGGUAAAAAAGUCAAGAUGUCAAUGUUUUUUGAGUCCCACUUUUUCAUCCUUAUUCUACCAUGUUUAUGGAACUUCUGUAGGUUAGGUUCUACCCGCUCUAUCCUGAAGUUCUUGCAAGUGGAAGUUUAGACUAUGAAGUUCGCUUGUGGGAUUGACAAAUUGAAGAGUGUAUAGGAUCACAUGAUUUUUGUAAUAUCUUCUAAUUUCAGAGUUUCAACAAUAAUUAUCUGCCUAUUUUGUAGGUUCAAAUUCAUUAAUGAGGCUAUGCUCAAUUUUUAUUCCAACAGAUCGUCCUAUAGCUUUUGUCGCCUUUCAUUCCUAAGGGGAAAUUUAGCUGUAGCUGUAGGCCACCAGGUUACAAAUUUCGAAAAUUACAUUGCUGUCAGUUUAAUUUUGGACGCGCUUCAUUGUUGUUGACCUUGUGAUAUGUGACAGGUAUACACGUGGUAUUACAACAAGAGAGGAGAGGCUUCCUUACAAACAAUUAUCCUUAAGACACCGUUCACUCUGAGCUGUAGAUAUUCUGUUUCAAAGGUGCCUAAAAAAUAUAGACGCAGUAAUUUAUUAUCGACAAAUGAUUGUAUUCAAUUUUUCAUUAUUGCAUCUAUUCAAUUUGUU
rnacentral:lncRNA from 1 species